AAGCUUGUGCCUAGGACAAUUAUUGACAUACAUAACAACUACAAAGAAAGCAACGUUAGCCACCACGAAGACAGGCACCAACCAUGAUGUCCAUUGAGGUUCUGUAUCGUCUAUCAUGUAAGUAGAUGAUGAUAUGUAACUGCCGCCGCUGCUAUCAUUAAUGCUAUUGCUGUAUCUCUUUGCCCCUCCUCCUCUGUUUUCUAUAUCACCCCCUGCCAUUUUUAUUCUGUUUCCCCAAACCAAAAAGGAGUCCUUUUUUUUUUUUCGGAUUUGGCUUCUUCUAUGUAUCCUGAAAGCCUGAAACUUUAACUUGAUUAUUUUUUUUUCUUUUGAAAAGAUUUGAUUUUAAAUGAUGGAGUUGGUGAGAGGGGGUUUAAUUAGAGAGUUAUGGAGGAAGAUAGUGAAGGGAGUGGGACACUGUUUUUUGUUUUUUUCUUUUUUGUGUCAUUGCUUUGUUUUUCAGGUUCUUCUAACUUCACAGUGGGAAAUCUUGAUCUUUUUACGAGAAGAUAAUAUAUUUUAAUGCAUUUAAAUCUCGAUCUUUUAACAACUAACGACUCAAUUGGUAUAAGUGUUUAAGUAUUGAAAUUUAAUAGGUGAGUUAUGUUCGUAUUUUCCAUGAAAGGUAACUAAGCACCUACUUAAACAUUAUGUCUAAUUAAUGUUUUGUACCAACUACUGCAACAUAACUAUCUAAUAUCCCAUUCAUCUUUUGUUUGUUAAUCAUCCUAAUUAAAUUGAAAAUAAAAUUGAUUUUAUAUAUAAUCCAACCACUGCAACAUAACUAUCCAAUAUCCCAUUCAUCUAUAAAGUAAAUUUCUCUUUUGGAAAUCGAGAAAAUGGUAAUUCACAGAAUAUAUUCUAUUAAAAAGUAAAAAAAAAGAAAGGAAUAAUUUUUCAGUUCAUUUCAAACCUUCAAACCCUCGUAACCCUCCACUGUAAUUUAUUUAUAUAUAUUAUGAUAUCAUUUUUUGAAGAAUAUGAUGCUCUUAGUUGUUUGGCAUUAGAUAUUUCUCCGACUUAUAUAAUUUCAACUCAAUUUUUACACAUCAAAAUUCGAUCAAGAAAAUUCACCAGCUCAACUGUAUGAGUUUCUUCAACCAACUUAUGAUCGACAAUCUAUAAGUACAACUUUCCGUUAUACAUAUUUUCCUAACUAUUGCUUGCGACAGUAGCCAUCGACAUGGAAGUAGUUGAGAAGAAAAUAUCAAGAAAGAACCAGCAUGGCCUACAUGUUAGAACCAUAGUCUAAAUCUCGAAUGGAGGAGAGAAACUGAGAGCCUACUUUACUGCCACUUCUAUUCCCAACAGUAUACGCAAAGCAUACAUUGAAAACGAAACCCCAGUUAAAAAAUAUUCAGGCGGUUAAAUUUAAUAUACAUAUUUGGUAGGAAUUCAUUAUAUCAUAAAAAUUAAUCCUUUCACAAAAAUGAACACUCAAUCAAUAUAUAUAGCUUCUGACCUUUGACUCUGCAGCAGAUCCCAACAUUUUAAAGAAAAAUAUAAAGAGAAAAUGUAAGUGUUCAACUAGGCUUCUUAUAUCUUUCACUUCCUCAUAUUACAGUAAUUUUGCUAUUCCAUCCAUGUCUUUUGAGGUGGUGCAUCGUUUCUUUUCAUGCUACCGUUGCAGGCCAUCAACGCAAAACGAAGAACAUGAUGCUGCGCAUUGCUAGUGUACGCAACCGUCAACAUAUCAUCAUCAAUGAGUCUACUGAUCAAAGGCGGUGAUUCACCAUACGUGUCACUCUUAAAACAGUGGGAAUCAUUUGAAACUGUUAACCCCUGCACCAUUCAGAAAAACAAAGCUGCCCUUAUAACAUGGCUGUAGCAACUCACUAGUAAGGUACCUUCAUAGUCAAGUUACACAUAUAUAUAUAUAUGAUGGACCAGCUACAUCUUUCCAGUGUAUGCAUCUGUCUUGAAUGUUAGAUCAACUGUUUUGUUGAAUUUAGAGUUAUUCUAGGCUGAUCUGUACUGUGCAGAUAACGUAUAUUUGCUUAAGUGCUUUUCUAAUUAUUUUUGGCUAAACUACAUUCAAGGUCACUAAACUAUUAGUAAAUUUACGUUCUGAUCACUUAACUUCAAAAACUUAUAAAAUGGUCAUUGAACUAUUUGAAAGUUUUCAUUUACAUUGCUAAACUAUUUGAAAGUUUUUAUUUAAGUCACUAGGUUGUUAAGUUUUUUUUAAUAAAAAAAUUUUGGCUACUAAGCUCCAAGUAGAACAUACCUUGAUCUAAGUUAAUCUGACAAUUAGUGUCGAAGAUCGAAGAAGAAAGUUAUUUGGAUUUUAAUUUGUAGAUUCAUGACGUUCAAAGUUAUUUCACAAAAAAAGUUUGAACUAUAAAAGAAAAGGAUAAAGAGAACUUUCAAUUCGUAUAAGUGGUGUGAAUAGAGAAGGUCAUAUAAUAAAAAUUUUAACAACCUAGUAACUUAAAUGAAAACUUUCAAAUAAUAUAAUGACUAUUUGUAAUUUUUUAAAGUUGAGUAACCAAAACUUAAAUUUACUAAUAAUUCCGUGAUCUUGAAUGUAAUUUAUCCUAAAUUUUUAAUGCUUUUGCAAAACCAUUCCCAAUAAUAAUUUAAAGGAAAAAAACUUAAAUUUUUUAAAAGAUUAUGCUAAACUUGCCGUGGCAGUAUUUAAACCGAGUUAAAUAUUAUCCAAACCAUCAACUUAUUAAAGAAAAACAGUGAGAAUCAAGUGUGCCUGAUCAAAUGUGACAUUGCCUUAUAAUGUAGGAGACAUUUUUUGUUGUUGUUGUGUUAUGGGAGAGACAGGUAUUAGUCAACCCACCUAGCUUGCCCUAAAGCUC
rnacentral:lncRNA from 1 species